GAUAUUACCUGGGAGAUGAAAGGUCGAGGCCAGUCUCUCUCUCGCGCUCUCAGACCGAGACGGAUUGCUCUGCAGAAGCACGUCAGCUCUUCCUCUCCAAGUGGAUUAAGACACCAUGGCCGAAUUGGCUUUUUACCCAGCUGUGGCUCUGAUUUAUUUUUUUGCAGUUUUCCGAGCCAGUCAAGAGAACAAACUGUUGCUGGACAACAGCGCCUCCAUCAAUGUAUUCUGUCUGUUCGUCUUCGGCCAGACUCUCUGCCUGAUACUGGGUGGCUACACUGGCAUGGCCACUUACCUGCUAACCGCCCUGGUCUCUUACAACUUCCUGCCCUGGAAGAAUCCCGACAAGGCCGAGCGUGAGGUGAGGAAACCCCAAGGAUCUUCCAAGAAGAAUAAAAAGACAGACUGACAGGAUUAACAGUUGUCAGCUGAGAUGCAUUGCAGUGGACCAGAGGCAAAACUCAGGACUGCGAAUAACCCUGAAUCAAAUCCAGCUCGAAAAUGUGGCGUCUUGUCCCUGUAUCUAAAAAUCUGAAAGCACAAGGGCUGUGCCGCCUCACGGACACCACAACCAGACAGAAAACAGCGUGGGAGACCUGUGCUGUGCUGUUGAACACACAGUACCGCACAGCUGAGGCAAUCUUGUACCAAUUAUGAGUGAAAGCGGCCCACCAGGAAUAACUCCAGUACAAAUAGACUGACACCAGCACCACUCCACAGCCUGAGGCAAAGCUUUGUGUGCGGUUAUCCCCGCAGUGCCCAUGCUGACCUUUCUUUAAUGCUGCCAGGAAAUGUAGCUCUUGUGUUUGACCCCAGGCAGCAGUGGCUCACAUUGGAGUUAAAAGAAUGGAAUUCUUUGUUGAUCUCAGCAAUAACUAACCCAUUUGGGAGGCUUCUGAUUUUGGACUUGAGAUGCUUUUGGCGUUUAGGAGAGAGUGGUCAUUUUUAAGAGGUUCUUGAUUGGGGCUUUUUCCUCUAGCCCCCCUGCUAUCCCUGCUGCUAUCUUCAUAUUAUCUUUUCCUGCAAAGCCCUUCUAAUCCGAGUCAAUAAAUCUCCAUUACGGAGCUAACAAGCCCG